GGUGAUAAUAAUUUUCAUUUACAGUGAAGAAAACCCAUUGGGCACUUUUAUAGUGACAACGUAAUUAAAC
rnacentral:tRNA from 1 species